UGGGGAAUAUUGGACAAUGGGCGCAAGCCUGAUCCAGCCAUGCCGCGUGAGUGACGAAGGCCUUAGGGUUGUAAAGCUCUUUUGGCGGGGAAGAUAAUGACGGUACCCGCAGAAUAAGGUCCGGCUAACUACGUGCCAGCAGCCGCGGUAAUACGUAGGGACCAAGCGUUGUUCGGAUUUACUGGGCGUAAAGGGCGCGUAGGCGGCAAUUCAAGUCAUCUGUGAAAUCUCCGGGCUUAACUCGGAACGGUCAGAUGAUACUGCUUUGCUAGAGUGCAGAAGGGGCAAUCGGAAUUCUUGGUGUAGCGGUGAAAUGCGUAGAUAUCAAGAGGAACACCUGAGGUGAAGACGGGUUGCUGGGCUGACACUGACGCUGAGGCGCGAAAGCCAGGGGAGCAAACGGGAUUAGAUACCCUGGUAGUCCCUGAGCGGGCUGGCAAGGCGCAU
rnacentral:rRNA from 1 species